AUACCCUGAGAAAGAGUACUUUAAAGAGAGGUCUGAAAAUAUUGAAGGUCUAGGCCGUUCGUCUUUUAAGACUUGUUUAUUGUAUGCCAUUGAAGACCUUUUUGCGGCUUUAAGCUAAUAUAAAAAAACGCGGUCGUUUAAUCAGUCAUUGAUAAUGUGGCCAUAGCCAAUAAUUGGCUGAUAGAAGUUCAAAGGGUAAUCUUAAUUUGUGUUUUAUCAUUCGUGAAAUUGAAAGCGCCCGAAACAAAGUGGAAACAACUUGGACAGGUGUAAUUAUGCCAGAACACAGCCGGAUCUACGUCAAUAUCUUCAAUUAAACUUUCGCUUGAGCAUAAUUAAUUUGGAACAUCGGCAAGGGCUGCUCAGGUAGCUAAGGUUUACCAGUUGAAAUCGCUUUAAUUUAUUCCUGAGCUGGGCUAAAUCAAUUUGUAUGCUUUUAAUUAAAUUCAAAUCAGCUUUGAGGGCAAACUUUCGGGUUUGGGGCUCCUGUUGAUUGGAACGUAUGAUAUUUGAUUUCUCAAAUGGGUAUGAGGAUAAUGAGCUGGUGCCUGAACCUGUCAAUGGUAGCUUAAGAUUGCUAGCAGCAUUUUUCUAAAUUAAAUAUUCCGUACAAGCAAUGGGUAAACAGAAUAGAAACAUUUUAUUUACAAUGCCGGACGGUUAAACAAUUUUCCAAGCAAAUCACUUCAGUGGUUCAGCAAAUAGAUCGCUAUUGCUGAUGAUGGCUGAAUGUAAACAGAGCACAUACAGGCAGAAAACAAAAAAAAACUUGGACAAACACUCAGCGAAACAUUGAUGCAAAUGCAGCGCAAUCGAAAAGUGAGACAAAUGCUGCAGGGAGAGAAAUGGUGUCGGAUGCACGGAAAAAUGGAAAAGCAGGCGGUGGAAAUGGAAAAGGGGAUCGCAUCCAGUACGGAAAUUGGAAAUUUCACACUUGGUGAUGGCCCACAAAUUGGUCAACAGCCGUUGCGUGGCACAAACGCAAACACGGAGAACAACAUCC